UCUCAAGAGGAAAUGAAAGGAGACAGAUGUGGUUUUGCCUUAAGAUUUUCUGAUACGAACCACUGGAUAGAUUCAUUUGGAAAGAGAAAGAUGGGCCGCAAAGUGUGAUGUAAUUGCAGGCAUUUGAAGUCCCUGCUAGAGAUGGAGAAAUUAAGGUGAAGACUGAUCUCAGAUCUGGAAAGAGGCUGAGGUGUGGAAAGCCAUGAAUACCAGGCUAAGGGGUCUCAGCUCUGCUGUGCAGGCUGAAGCACUGGGCUGGGGAAGCACUUAGGCCAGCCACAAGGUGCGAAACAACUGCAUUACUGACAGAGGAGACCAUGCCUGAAGUGGGAACCCUAAUAAUGGCACAGGAGACAGGACGGAGGUUCAUUGCCUCGGGAAGGCUGGGAUAAGCAGCUGCUGCUUACGCAGCAG